rnacentral:rRNA from 1 species
UACGUAGGGGGCAAGCGUUGUCCGGAAUCAUUGGGCGUAAGGAGCGUGUAGGCGGUCCGGUAAGUCGGUUGUGAAAGUCCAGGGCUCAACCCUGGGAUGCCGACCGAUACUGUCGGACUAGAGUUCGGAAGAGGCGAGUGGAAUUCCCGGUGUAGCGGUGAAAUGCGCAGAUAUCGGGAGGAACACCUAUGGCGAAGGCAGCUCGCUGGGACGUUACUGACGCUGAGACGCGAAAGCGUGGGGAGCAAACAGG